rnacentral:rRNA from 1 species
CCUACGGGUGGCAGCAGUGAGGAAUAUUGGUCAAUGGGCGCGAGCCUGAACCAGCCAAGUAGCGUGAAGGAUGACUGCCCUACGGGUUGUAAACUUCUUUUAUAAAGGAAUAAAGUGAGGCACGUGUGCCUUUUUGUAUGUACUUUAUGAAUAAGGAUCGGCUAACUCCGUGCCAGCAGCCGCGGUAAUACGGAGGCGCCGAGCGUUAUCCGGAUUUAUUGGGUUUAAAGGGAGCGUAGAGGGGUUGUUAAGUCAGUUGUGAAAGUUUGCGGCUCAACCGUAAAAUUGCAAAUGAUACUGGCAGACUUGAGUACAGGUGAGGGAGGCGGAAUUCGUGGUGUAGCAGUGAAAUGCGUAGAUAUCACGAAGAACACCGAUUGCGAAGGCAGCUUACUAAACUUCCACUGACAUUGAUGCACGAAAGUGUGGGUAUCAAACAGGAUUAGAUACCCCAGUAGUC